AUUUUGGACAAUGGGCGAAAGCCUGAUCCAGCAAUGCCGCGUGAGUGAAGAAGGCCUUCGGGUUGUAAAGCUCUUUUGUCAGGGAAGAAACGGUGAGGGCUAAUAUCCCUUGCUAUUGCCGGUACCUGAAGAAUAGGCACCGGCAACCUACGUGCAACCAGCCGCGGUAAUACGUAGGGUGCAAGCGUUAAUCGGAAUUACUGGGCGUAAAGCGUGCGCAGGCGGUUUUGUAAGUCUGAUGUGAAAUCCCCGGGCUCAACCUGGGAAUUGCAUUGGAGACUGCAAGGCUAGAAUCUGGCAGAGGGGGGUAGAAUUCCACGUGUAGCAGUGAAAUGCGUAGAUAUGUGGAGGAACACCGAUGGCUAAGGCAGCCCCCUGGGUCAAGAUUGACGCUCAUGCACGAAAGCGUGGGGAGCAAACA
rnacentral:rRNA from 1 species